GCCGGGGUGGUGGAAUUGGUAGACACGCCGGUCUCAAACACCGGUGGGAGUGAUCCCGUGUCGGUUCGACUCCGACCCUCGGCA
rnacentral:tRNA from 1 species